rnacentral:rRNA from 1 species
CCUACGGGUGGCAGCAGUAGGGAAUAUUGCUCAAUGGGGGAAACCCUGAAGCAGCAACGCCGCGUGGAGGAUGAAGGUUUUAGGAUUGUAAACCCCUUUUGUUCGAGUAGCUUAUGACGGUAUAUAUCGAAUAAGCACCGGCUCACUCCGUGCCAGCAGCCGCGGUAAUACGGAGGGUGCAAGCGUUACUCGGAAUCCAUGGGCGUAAAGAGUGCGUUGGCGGGGUAAUAAGUCAGAUGUGAAAUCCUGUAGCUUAACUACAGAACUGCAUUUGAAACUGUUACUCUGGAGUGUGGGAGAGGUAGGUGGAAUUCUUGGUGUAGGGGUAAAAUGCGUAGAGAUCAAGAGGAAUACUCAUUGCGAAGGCGACCUGCUGGAACAUUACUGACGCUGAUGCACGAAAGCGUGGGGAGCAAACAGGAUUAGAUACCCGUGUAGUC